AGCUUUGCGCAGUGGCAGUAUCGUAGCCAAUGAGGUUUAUCCGAGGCGCGAUUAUUGCUAAUUGAAAACUAAACAACAAGUGAGUCAAAGAAGAAAUCAUAAGGGAAAUUAGAGUUAAACAAAAUUA
rnacentral:snRNA from 1 species